AUGGAGCAGAAAGAACGGACAUUGCUACUUAAGCAAGAGGGAAGACCCGACGAGGCCAUUAUGCUUACCUUGCUCGAGCGCAUCAACCCCGACCAUGGCACCACAUUCACAGUCUUGAGAUGCCUUUGUUCAGCCUGUACGGACAUUUCCAGAAAUGGUGUUUCCUCUCAUGUAAAGAGCUCCAGCCUGAAAGUGAAGAAGUCUGGAGUGUAUAUGUAG
rnacentral:rRNA from 1 species